UUCGGUUUAAUUUUUACACAUGAAUAAUUUUUUAAUUAAUCUUCCUUCUUUUCGUGCUCAGAACUUUUCCAUAUAUGAUUCAAAUGAUCAAAAUUGUUAUGUAAAAGAUAAGAGAAAUGAUUCGAAACAAUGCGAUAAUCAAAUUAGAAUCAUAGAUAAUCAAAAUGAAACAAGAAUUAUUACUGAACCUCUUGAAUGUAUUGUAUCACAUAUCAAAAGAAAUACUGAAAGAUAUAAAAAAUUAAAUAAACAAAAGAUGGAUCCAUUAUUAAAUUCACAUAUCACAAAAUAUUCAUUAAAAAGUAUUACAAAUAAACCCAAAAACAAUGAAAAUUUAAAAGAUAAUAUAGAAACACAUAGAAUAUCACAUUUUAAAAAAGUUUCAAAAAAAUUAAA